rnacentral:rRNA from 1 species
UUUCGGACAACGGAAGGCGAGGACAGUGGCGGACGGGUGAGUAACGCGUGAGGAACCUGCCUUUCAGAGGGGGACAACAGUUGGAAACGACUGCUAAUACCGCAUGACACAUAGAGAUCGCAUGGUUUUUAUGUCAAAGAUUUAUCGCUGAAAGAUGGCCUCGCGUCUGAUUAGCUAGUUGGUGAGGUAACGGCCCACCAAGGCGACGAUCAGUAGCCGGACUGAGAGGUUGACCGGCCACAUUGGGACUGAGAUACGGCCCAGACUCCUACGGGAGGCAGCAGUGGGGAAUAUUGGGCAAUGGGCGCAAGCCUGACCCAGCAACGCCGCGUGAAGGAAGAAGGCUUUCGGGUUGUAAACUUCUUUUGUCGGGGACGAGUAGAAGACGGUACCUGGCGAAUAAGCCACGGCUAACUACGUGCCAGCAGCCGCGGUAAUACGUAGGUGGCAAGCGUUGUCCGGAUUUACUGGGUGUAAAGGGCGUGUAGCCGGGAAGGCAAGUCAGAUGUGAAAUCCACGGGCUUAACUCGUGAACUGCAUUUGAAACUGUUUUUCUUGAGUAUCGGAGAGGCAAUCGGAAUUCCUAGUGUAGCGGUGAAAUGCGUAGAUAUUAGGAGGAACACCAGUGGCGAAGGCGGA